UACAGAGGUGGCAAGCGUUGUUCGGAAUUACUGGGCGUAAAGGGCGCGUAGGCGGUCCGAUAAGUCCUGUGUGAAAUCCCUCGGCUCAACUGAGGAACUGCACGGGAGACUGUCGGGCUUGAGUUCGGGAGAGGGAAGCGGAAUUCCGGGUGUAGCGGUGAAAUGCGUAGAUAUACCGGAGGAAGACCAGUGGCGAAGGCGGGUCUCUGGACAGUUCCUGACACUGAGACACGAAGGCCAGGGGAGCAAACGGG
rnacentral:rRNA from 1 species